UUAUGUUGGUGGAGACGCAAAAACCCCUACCAUAGAUUGUUGCAGUGGGCUGAAACAGGUGCUGGAUAAGAGCCGGAAAUGCCUGUGUGUACUGCUUAAAGAUAGAGAUGACCCCAGCCUUGGCCUCAACAUCAACGCUACUCUCGCGGCAACACUUCCUACCACUUGUCGUGCCCCUGUCAACAUGACCGACUGCAUCUGUAAGUAUAACAUACUACUACCACUCCAAAACCCAAGUCAUUCACACUUGCUCUCAUUUUGAUUCCCUUGCCCAUCCUUUCAGCUCUUCUGCACUUGACUCCCGAUUCCCAGGAAGCUAAGUUAUUUCAAGGAUAUCAGAAGCUGACACACACUGGUAAAUUUAAGCCUUUAUCGCAUAAUCACUAUACUCAUUUCUCUCUACUCUUUUACUAAUUUUCAAGUAUAUGAUAGGCAACUCCAACUCCACUACCACUGCUGCUGCUGCUGCAGACAAGAGUGAUGGAGGAAAGGAAAAGAGGUGGCUGGGAGUAGAGAUAGCGUUCGGAGUUUCACUAUGGAUUUUCACCAUAAACCGGAACCUUGGUGUGUGAUUGAUUUCUUCUAUAAACAGUGAUCCAGUUUUUAUGUGUCGUACAUUCUCU
rnacentral:lncRNA from 1 species